rnacentral:rRNA from 1 species
AGUGAACGCUGGCGGCAGGCCUAAUACAUGCAAGUCGAACGGCAGCACAGCAGAGCUUGCUCUGUGGGUGGCGAGUGGCGGACGGGUGAGGAAUACAUGGGAAUCUGCCCAGUCGUGGGGGAUAACGUAGGGAAACUUACGCUAAUACCGCAUGCGCCCUUCGGGGGAAAGCCGGGGACCUUCGGGCCUGGCGCGAUUGGAUGAGCCCAUGUCGGAUUAGCUAGUUGGCGGGGUAAUGGCCCACCAAGGCGACGGUCCGUAGCUGGUCUGAGAGGAUGAUGAGCCACACUGGAACUGAGACACGGUGCAGACUCCUACGGGAGGCAGCAGUAGGGAAUAUUGGACAAUGGGCGCAAGCCUGAUCCAGCCAUGCCGCGUGAGUGAAGAAGGCCCUCGGGUUGUAAAGCUCUUUUGUCCGGAAAGAAAAGCAUCCAGUUAAUACCUGGGUGUCCUGACGGUACCGGAAGAAUAAGCACCGGCUAACUUCGUGCCAGCAGCCGCAGUAACAC